AUUUGAAAUGCUAGAGUCCUAGCUAAGAAGCUGUAUCACAGCAAAUAGAAAGAAUAGAGUGGCUAGGGAGACUCGUGAGUUUGGUAUCAGAAUGCCAGUUUGAUAUAGUUAUCAUUGGAAAAUUAUGCACUAUAAAUUUGAGGCUAUGACCAAAUUAUGCAUUUAUAUAUGUGUGUAUAUGUGAUUUAUGAGAAAUAUCAAGAUUUGUAUACUGUGGAACCAAAUAAUGCACGCCAGCUGGUAGAAAUUGCAGCUAGGGAUAUUGAGAAACUUCUGAGCAACAGAUCUAAAGCCCUGGUGCGCCUGGCAUUGGAAGCGGAGAAAGUUCAAGCAGCUCACCAGUGGAGAGAAGAUUUUGCAAGCAAUGAAGUUGUCUACUACAAUGCAAAGGAUGAUCUCGAUCCUGAGAAAAAUGACAGUGAGCCAGGCAGCCAGAGGAUAAAACCUGUUUUCAUUGAAGAUGCUAAUUUUGGACGACAAAUAUCUUAUCAGCACGCAGCAGUCCAUAUUCCUACUGACAUCUAUGAGGGCU
rnacentral:sRNA from 1 species